UGAGUAUAAAAUUAGAAAAACUUCAAAUACCAUACCAGUGGUUUCGUGCUUUCUCACUUUAGUGUGAUUUCAAAUGUAUCACUUUAGUACUCUCUGGUUUCGUUUUUCUCUUUCUGUUAUCUUAUCCGAUAAUUUUUUUGUUCAAUCAGUGACAAAGUUAAAACCACGGGGUACUAAAAUAAAUAUUCGGUAAAUCAUAGGAUACUAAAGUGAAUAUUCGAUAAACUAUAUAUAUACCUGUGGAGGUACUGAUGAAAAAAAUAAAAUAAAAUUACAAGAUACUGAGGUGAUAUAUUUUAAACAACUGAAUAUUAAAGUGAGCAAAUGCGAAACCCCGAUAAGU
rnacentral:lncRNA from 1 species